rnacentral:rRNA from 1 species
UAGGGAAUCUUCGGCAAUGGACGAAAGUCUGACCGAGCAACGCCGCGUGAGUGAAGAAGGUUUUCGGAUCGUAAAACUCUGUUGUUAGAGAAGAACAAGGACGUUAGUAACUGAACGUCCCCUGACGGUAUCUAACCAGAAAGCCACGGCUAACUACGUGCCAGCAGCCGCGGUAAUACGUAGGUGGCAAGCGUUGUCCGGAUUUAUUGGGCGUAAAGCGAGCGCAGGCGGUUUCUUAAGUCUGAUGUGAAAGCCCCCGGCUCAACCGGGGAGGGUCAUUGGAAACUGGGAGACUUGGGUGCAGAAGGGGAGGGUGGAAUUCCAUGUGUAGCGGUGAAAGGCGUAGAUAUAUGGAGGAACAACAGUGGCGAAGGCGGCUCUCUGGUCUGUAACUGACGAUGAGGCUCGAAAGCGUGGGGAGCAAACAGG